GGCGUGCUUACACAUGCAAGUCGAACGAUCNAUCCUAGCUUGCUAGGUGAAUUAGUGGCGCACGGGUGAGGAAUAUAUAGCUAACCUGCCCUUUAGAUGGGGACAACAGUUGGAAACGACUGCUAAUACCCAAUACUCCUUUUGAACAAAAGUUCAAUCGGGAAAUGUUUUUUCGCUAAAGGAUGGGGCUAUACGGUAUCAGCUUGUUGGUGAGGUAAGAGCUCACCAAGGCAAUGACGCCUAGCUGGUCUGAGAGGAUGAUCAGCCACACUGGAACUGAGACACGGUCCAGACUCCUACGGGAGGCAGCAGUGAGGAAUAUUGCACAAUGGGGGAAACCCUGAUGCAGCAACGCCGCGUGGAGGAUGACGCAUUUCGG
rnacentral:rRNA from 1 species